AGGUCAUUUCAAAGAGGGCUUGUGGGACUAAAACCAAGAGCUCUUAACGCUGUGACCAAAUAUUGGAGUUCUCCAUAGGAUGUAAUAGUUACUCAAUAGUGCUAUGUUUUUUCCUGAGGAGAUACAGGA